UACAUCCUACGGGACGCAGCAGUCGAGAAUCAUUCACAAUGGGGGAAACCCUGAUGGUGCGACGCCGCGUGGGGGAAUGAAGGUCUUCGGAUUGUAACCCCCUGUCAUGUGGGAGCAAAUUAAAAAGAUAGUACCACAAGAGGAAGAGACGGCUAACUCUGUGCCAGCACCCGCGGUAAUACAGCGGUCUCAAGCGUUGUUCGGAAUCACUGGGCGUACAUCGUGCGUAGGCUGUUUCGUAAGUCGUGUUUGAAAGGCGCG
rnacentral:rRNA from 1 species